rnacentral:rRNA from 1 species
GUGCCAGCCGCCGCGGUAAUACAGAGGGGGCAAGCGUUGUUCGGAAUUACUGGGCGUAAAGGGCGCGUAGGCGGCCUUCUAAGUCGAACGUGAAAUCCCCGGGCUCAACCCGGGAACUGCGUCCGAUACUGGAAGGCUUGAAUCCGGGAGAGGGAUGCGGAAUUCCAGGUGUAGCGGUGAAAUGCGUAGAUAUCUGGAGGAACACCGGUGGCGAAGGNGGAAUCCUGGACCGGUAUUGACGCUGAGGCGCGAAAGCCAGGGGAGCAAACG